ensembl:lncRNA
AUUUAAAUUACAACAUCCGCACUCAAACAGUCACUCACAGACAAUUCUCUGUAUGCGAUGCAAUGCACCAGAUUCAUAUUCAUGUUCAUGACAGAGUGAAUAGUAAACCAGCUUGGCUUCAGGUGGACCGUUGCUGCUCUCCAUCUCAACUUUAUUCAAACAGGACUUUCUCCCCCGAGGAACUAAAUCACCGCAAACAUGCCUAAAUGCCCCAAGUGCGAGAAGGAGGUUUACUUCGCAUGUCUGGAUCAUGUGUUCACAGUCCAGAACUAAACAAAAGAGCUUCCUGUAUCAUCCACCGUAGUGUGACAUGACUGACUGCCUGAGCUGGGAUGAGUAUGACUCUUAUUACAGCUGUUGUAAGCAAUUAUAGCAGCUCGCAGUAGUCCAUAACAAUGGGAAUAAUGUAGUGUAUGUGCUAUCCUUCAACACUCUGCUUACUAGAUAAAAGAUGAGGCAUUACUUGGUGUCUGGGUCUUUGGUAACACCUCAUCACACUUUUCAGAUUUACGUCACAGAUGGGAACUUUUAAUCUGCCCUUUGUCCAUCUUUUAGUUUCUGCAUGCCAAAAAGCUCAAACGAAUCUUCUCUCGGAGCCAUAAAUCUGACAUCUUUUAAAGUGGUCAUGCGUUCAGGCAGUCUUUGGCAUCCAUGAGAUGUAGACGCUUGCCAAAAUCCUCCCUUGUAAAAAGCACCUCCCCUACCGGAGACGCCUGAGCACUCAUGACUUUGUCUUCCCUUCCCACUGCUUUUACGAUGUUCAUCAUGAGGGUUGUUUAGAGAAAUCUUUCUGCUGCGGACUGUAGAUAAAGACUUCAUUAUGGCCCUUUUAUAAGGGAAGGG